GCUGCUUAUGCCCACUGGGCUUUUCUCUUGGCUGUGUGUUCCUGGUCUCCGAGCCAUUCUGUGGCAAGGGGUUGGAGCUCGGUGAUCUUUGAGGUCUCUUCCAACCUAAGCCAUUCUGUGAUUCUGUGAUAUGAUUCUUUUGGCUUCAUGUUAUGGGUAUAGGCAACUACCCGUGAAGCGAUCACUGGUAUUGAAAGCUCUCAGCUCAAACUUUCUUUCUGGUCUACUGCUUGUCCACAUUUCUCAUCAUGACUAUAUGAUCCUUUAGAAAAUAAGGAAGGAACCAGAAGCCCCAGGGUGGCAUUACCUUUACAUUUCAGAUCCAUGGAACCAUUUGAGUUGGAAGGUACCCUUAAAGGCCAUCUGGCCCAACCCCCUGUACUGAACAGGGGCACCUACAGCUCCAUCAGGCGCUCAGAGCCCCGUCCAGCCUGACCUUGGGUAUCUCCAGGGACGAGGCACCACCACCUCUCUGGGCAACCUGUGCCAGUGCCUCACUACCCCUCAGUGUAGAAAACUUCUUCCUUAUAUCCAGUCUUAAUCUCCCCUCUUAUAGUUUGAAACCAUUUCCCCUUGUCAUAUCACAUCAGACCCUGCUAAAAAGUCCAUCCUCUUCUUUCUUACAGCCCCCUUUAGGUACUGCUUUCCAGGGGUCAGCAUCUCUUGCUGGGAAGAUGACACAUGGGGUCCCUUUUUUGCCUCUGCCCUCCCUUUGCCACAAGUGGCAAUCUUACCCUCUUUUUCCAUUCGCUCCAUGUGCUCUCCUCCUUGCAGUGGAGACGGUUUGUUACUGACUGCACGGAGGCACUGCAAGGCUUAGCUGGGAGUCGGAAAAACUUUUCCAGAUCUUUAGUCAAGUCGUUUCAUGCAUCCACAGUAUCAGUGGCCUGCCACAUGGAUAUCAAAGAAAAUGAUUAUAAUUAUUGCUUUUAAAAUGAUUGUGAAAUUGUGCCUUACUUUUUCAGUCGUGUUUAACCGUCUAAUUUAGAACCACAUGAUUGCAGGGAUCGUAUCAUGAAGAAAUUUGUUUGAAGGAUAAUUUGUUUGUUUUUAAAGGUUUUUUUUCUUCAAAAACGAAUUUAUUAUUUUUUUCUUCUUUUACUGUUUCUUUUUUUUUUUUUAAUUUUCCUCCAAUUUUAUCCCUUUAAUAUGUUUGUGUAAAAAGGGCAGCCAGCAUUUGCAUUUGCGAGAGACAGAAGAUUUCAUUUGGUCUCGUAUGCAGAGCUUUCAUUUUCUUUUAUGUUCCUUCAGGAAAAUUCCUCUUUGCCCGAUUACUCAUACUUAGAUGUCUUUAAAUGCAGGCUGACCAGUGUGGGCUUUUUGUUGUUUAAUUUAGUGUGUGCUUUGCUCUGCGCUUUAUUCUGCUUUUUUUAAUUAUCCAGAUAUCGGGUGCUGGGGAGGCAUUGCACAUUAAUGCAGAAUGCUAAUGCUAUUUUUCAUAGAAAAGACAAAAUUAGAGUCUCUCCCUGUCUCCAGUGCAGUUUUAUUACUGUUUUGCGUACAACACCGAUAUUAAGCCAGACUGUAAAGGCAAAAUACUCAGUGACCUACUUCCAUUCACCAGCAAGAAGCCUUUGUCAGCUGACUCCUGUUUGUUUGUUCGUUUCUAAAUGUCGGAUUACAGAACGAGCAUCUCCCAAAGAUGAAAGAAAACAGUGUUUUCGUGCACAGGAAAUUUGGGGUUGCAGUAACAGAACAUUUUCUUUGUGAAUUUGGAUGUCGUGGUGUUUUAAGCCCCCGCCUGGAGCCUAAAUCAAUCUGGCCUCUCAUGCAGUUCAUCUCGCUGGUGCUCCUAAAAGGCUGCAGCCCUGCAAAAGCUCAUGCAGCAUUUUUGGCCGCUUUCCCUUGCUCCCAUUUGGUACAUAUUUGCACAAUUUAACUGAGCUUUUCUUUCUGCUGAAGGUCAGAUGCAAGCGAUACGAAACACUAAACUUUAUAAACAAGCAAAGCCAUUUUAACCACAGCGUUUUGGACAAGAAUGGGUUUUUAGGUGGCGUGCUGUCUGCUGGCCUUUGGAGGGAGGGGAUCCUGAGGGUGCAUUUGCCUGAAACAGGAUGCAAAGCCACAAGCCUUGGUUUCUUAAUAAACUGCUUACUGUAAUCCAGCUACACAGUUUCAGCCUCACACUUCAGAAGCAGCUUCCAGCAGCAGUGCACGUACAGGCACUUUCCCUCUUCCUUGCAGAAAGUGAAACUUUCCCAACCAGCGCAAAUUUAACCUAUUGCAUAAGAAGCUGGAAGUUUGCUUGUUUGGGUUUUUUCUUUUUUUUUUCCUCUUUGCACUUCUUUCUGUAACCUCUAUAAGCAAAGGAUGAAUAGCUUUUCUUUCUCCUUUUUUUUUUUUUUUUUUUUGACAAGAUUAGAUGUUGCAUAUUGAUGAGCUUGCAUUUCAAAGUGCCUUUUGUUUCAGCUUAUCAGGACCGCUCUGUUCCCAUUUGUAUGCCCAGCACUGGUCCUGGUGUCUGCUAUGGUUUCCACAGGAGCUGUGCUGCAUGCAGGUGUGGAUGCAGCAUCUUGGAAAGCACAGGGCAGCUUUGCAACCUUGGCUUAAGAGGAGUGGUGUUUGGAGAAAUCCUUCCUUGGGGAUGCCCCAUUUGCCAUCUCUGUUGAAACUCCCAUUGAAGCUUUAGAUUAGGAUCAGUUAGGGCUGCAUAUACUCAGCUAUUUUCCCAUGUUAUCAACAUUCUCGUUUGCCUUCUCCUUGACAUCCCAUGCUGCAAACCGUGGUGUGCAGGGCAGCCUCCUUGGUCCUGCUCAUGUGCAGCCUUGACUUUUCCAAGUUCAAUCAGUGCCUGCUGCUUUUCCUUAGGACAGCUCUGGUUGGGCCAAGGGCAUCUCUACGCAAAAGGUGGUGCUUUCCUCUUCAGCUUACAAAUAAUGCCUCUUUUUCAGAUUCACCUUUCCCCUCUCACGUAUUCCUGACAGGAGCAGGGCUUUAAAUAUUUCACAGCGUUCUUCUUUCUCCUCCUUUUUUGCCAGAUGCCUUGAAAACACUGUCAGAUUACGAUCUGGGCGGGAGUUUUCAGGAUCGAUUUCCUUUCCUCCUUGAUUGCGACGGUGUAGGUUUGCAGUGAGGUUUGCUGCUUGUUUUUGGUUUUCUUUUUACCUUUGACAGAACAGAUGCCUUCAGUUUAUGCAGUGAAAGAUUGACUAUGAUUAGAGCUAAUCCAGGAUGGCAGGAUUGGACCCCCACAGUGAAAUCUAGAAAAGUGAUUGCAAAAGUAUUUUGUUUCUCCUUUAUUAAUUACACAGGAAGUUUCCACAGAAGGCUCAUGUAACACUGCUGGCCUAUGUAAUAAGUAGCAGGGCCUGUAAUUACAGUCUGUCUCUGAUCCUAUCUGUGCUCUGGCUUUCUAGGCAUCGCAGUUCUAUUUACAUCUGUGUCUUUGUCACCUCUUAAAUUUUUCAUUGGUCACUGAGGGAAGAACAACACAAGCCGUGAGCCCUGCAGAGGUGCAGCAGCUCUGACCAAGGGAGUCCUCCACCUUCUCAUGUAUCUGCCUGAUUCGGGACACAGAAGAAAGAGAUUUUGACCAGCAAAGGGAGCAAGCUGCAUACCAGCUUUGUACCUUUCGGCAUCUCAGAGUCUUUGUAGGACUGGAAAAUCAAACCUAUUACAGGUCUUUACUAGUGUACCGUCCUGUGAGGGAGUUUAUACAUUGCUAUUUCCUUGCUCUGAGCAGAUUCUACUGGAUUUCAGCAUCCUUUUCUGUAAGAUUCAGGGUUUUAUGGUUGCAAAGAAACUUUCCAGAUAUGGCAGGAGGAGGAAGAUGGCUUUUAGCUGGGCUUCUCCGUGUGAUGCCGUAAGUGCUCUUAGCAGCGUAAAGCAGGAGUGGGAAUGGGGCAGCAGUGAUUUGUUCCAUUCCAGGUUCCCCAGCACUGAGCUCUGGUUGACGCAGCCCUGGGCAGCCCAGCUCCUGGUCCUGAGACCUGGUGCUGAGUGAGCUGGCACCUGGGGUGGGUGCUCAGUGCUGGUCACCCCACAGUCCCCUUCUUUCUUAAGAGAUACCUUCUAGAGUUAAACUACAGAAUGGUGCCCCCCAGCCUUUUUCUUAAGGCACUAUUCCCAGUGCUGUGUUUGAGCAUGAGGAGCAAAAGCCAUUGUGCAAGCACUGUACACAGUGCAUAAAGAAAAAUUAACAAUCUACGAUGGAUAUUUUCAAUGUCCAUUACACUGUUAUGCAAAUUGUCCCUUUUCUGCAGCUAGCGCUGUUAAUUAUUUUGGGUUUGACUUUAUUAAAAAAAAAAAAAAAGCACAAUAAUUUUGUAUUUUUUCCUUACUACUUCUAAGAAAGUUGAUGCUUUAAAGGAAAAAAAAAAAAAAAAAAACCCUUACUUUCAAACAUGGGUUUUUCAGGCUUCGAAAUUAAUAAUUUCUACACCUGACCCAGUUCUUGCAGCUGCCAAAAAAAGAAAAGAGAAAGCUAUUUAAAUUUCUCAUAGAACCAUUUAUCUCUUAAAAUAUGCCAAGGCAAUUUGAGGUGGGGGUGGAGACUCAGCUAUUUAUCUCAGCAGCUUGAUUUUUCUCUUUAUGUUUCUAACUGUCAGGGGAAAAAAACGGUAGGAAGCUAUUCUUGGGCUAUUAUUGAUGUAUUGUGUUGCCAUUAUGCAGGAUGUCUGCUUUGCUAUAUACGGAAGGACAUUAAUAAUAGCCAUCUUCCCUGCCCCCACCCUCGGUUCCUUUUAGGAAGAUGUGGUUUAAACUGGAGCAUCUGCCCUGUUCAAAUUGCUGCUCCCCCUCCCCUUCCCUCAGUUAGUUCCCAAACUAGUUUUUGGGAACAAGGCUAAAGGAAUGAGGAGAUAGGUAGAAAAAUGGCAAGUAUAACCUACUUGUGUGCUUGCUCCAGGCAAGUCAUUUUCAUGCCGUGUACCUGUCUUCGUCUUUCCUUCCCAUCUAUUGCCCCUCGUUUCAUUCCAAGUUCAUCAGUGCAGAAAUACCCUUCUUGCCAUUUCUGUCUCACAGGGGCUGGCUGGCAGAACAGGCUCAGCAACAGACCUCAGCUUUGUGAUUACACAGCAUGCCACAUCCAGGAACGUUGGUUUCCUCAUUAUGUCCUCUAAGUAGGAAAAUAUAUUCCCAUCCCUCCUUACCCUGGCUUUAAAAUAUUGUUAAGAAACUUGAAAGGCUCGGCCCACUUGUUUAAAGGCUUGUUGUAUUUUUGGAAGCGGAGUGUAUGGUGAGCAGGAAUAGUUUGAUAUUUGAAAAAUAUCCCCACUUGAGCAUUCCUCCGAGGUGUGGGAAGUCCUGUCUCCAUGGGUCUGUGCCAGCACUGUGACAGCCCAGCGAGCAAAGCCAGCUUGGAUAGGAAAAGAACUGGCCAGCCCUGUUUCAUCUGAUAGAAGAGAGGUGGAAACAAUAAACAUGGCAAAAGCUUCAGGGCCUAGUUGCUCAAAUUUAAUCUAUCUUUUUUUCCAGUGGCUACGUUUCUGCAUUUUGUGCUGGUUUUGUUGUCCAGAAGCUUUGCUUCUUCAGCAUUUCUGAUGGUCAGAACCAUGUGCUCUUCCAUGAUGUCAUUUUAGUUUGUUUGUAAUUCAUUGCUAGUCUUUAUCUGGUCUUUAUAUGAUCCAGAGCUGUUCUGUUUUGGGUUCUGAAUUCAAUCAAAGUUAGAGACUCUUGUAAAGCACAUCCAGACUCUAGGACUAAAAAA
ensembl:lncRNA